CACGCAGGCGGUUUUUAAGUCAGAUGUGAAAGGUACCGGCUCACCGGUGACAUGCAUUUGAAACUGAAAGACUUGAGUAUUGGAGAGGCAAGUGGAAUUCCUAGUGUAGCGGUGAAAUGCGUAGAUAUUAGGAGGAACACCGGUGGCGAAGGCGGCUUGCUGGACAAAUACUGACGCUGAGGUGCGAAAGCGUAGGGGAGCAAACA
rnacentral:rRNA from 1 species